rnacentral:siRNA from 1 species
ACUUAUGCUUUAAAACGAUUGUA